GAACCUGUGCAUCAGAGUUGAAGAGAGGUUACAAGCCAUGCACAUAAGGAAUGGAUUUCACCAAUCAUUCAAACACCCCCUUUUCUGCAUACUCUGCACAAUAUGUCACUCACGUACAGAACCUGUGGAGGCCCUGCUCAGAGGUUAAAUUCUUGCUCAGAGUCCGAUUGCUCCCAUCUGGCACUGCCAGAGUGUGGGUGAGGGAGGCUGAACUGGGAGUUAAGCGAGGCCCUGCUACCUCCAGGCCCCUGCUCUGUGCACAGGUGCAGAACCUACUUAUGUGUCAGAUGGGCCUCAUGGACAAUGAGGUAUCCCUGUGGCCAGAGCUCGUGCUUCGGGCAUACAGGAUGCCGUGUAUGAAAUGCUGAUGACGUGGCUCAACAAAAUGGGGCAAGGUGCCUCAGUCAACAUCCCACUGGAUGCCUCGGAAAUGUUAGGGAAAAGAUAUGUGAAGGAGAGAAUUCAGGAGCACCUGGUGGGCUCUGGAAAGUGCAUCUAUGAAGAAGAUGGGACAGCUCUGCUGUAU
rnacentral:lncRNA from 12 species